AGAGUUUGAUCCUGGCUCAGGACGAACGCUGGCGGCGUGCUUAACACAUGCAAGUCGAACGGAGAUAAUAGCAAUAUUAUCUUAGUGGCGGACGGGUGAGUAACGCGUGGGCAAUCUGCCUCAGAAUGGGGGAUAACACAGGGAAACUUGUGCUAAUACCGCAUAACAUGGAGAAGUGACAUCACUAUUCCAUCAAAGGAGCAAUCCGUUCUGAGAUGAGCCCGCGUCCGAUUAGCUAGUUGGUGAGGUAACGGCCCACCAAGGCGACGAUCGGUAGCCGAACUGAGAGGUUGAUCGGCCACAUUGGGACUGAGACACGGCCCAGACUCCUACGGGAGGCAGCAGUGGGGAAUAUUGCACAAUGGGCGAAAGCCUGAUGCAGCAACGCCGCGUGAGUGAUGAAGGUCUUCGGAUCGUAAAGCUCUGUCUUCUGGGAAGAUAAUGACGGUACCAGAGGAGGAAGCCACGGCUAACUACGUGCCAGCAGCCGCGGUAAUAC
rnacentral:rRNA from 1 species